GCCUUCGUGGUGUAAUGGUCAACCCAGUCGCCUUUUAAAAGGAGGUGUAUUUAAGGCAUUUCUCCCACCUUCUUAGCAUGCAUUCGUGGCGUAAUGGUCAGCAAACUCGGCGCGUAUGCGAGAUGUCCGAGGUUCGAGUCCCGGCGAGGGCA
rnacentral:tRNA from 1 species